CGGUGGCCCAGCCCAGCUUCUGGCACUUCCAUGGGAGUGAGGUGCAAAGACAGAGUGCAGUACAUUUAAAGUGUUUUGCCAAAACUUUUUUAUGGGAUUUGAGUACAAAUACCAAAGGGGUUGUCCAUGGAAAGAAGUGGGCCUUAGGCUGAUAUCUUGUUGGGGGAUGCAGCGAGAUUGGGGGUAACCUCUGACCCCAUCUGUAGGAUUCACUGGAUCUGCUUGAUGUUUGCUUGUAGUUGUUUGACUGAUGAUGACAUUACUGUUUAGACAUUUGGACUGCAAGGAGAAAUCCCACCACAGAUAAGUAGAUCGUCUUGUCUUUGCAUGGGCAUGCUGCCCUGGCUUGUCUGAUGUGUGCAUUAUGGGACGUAUGCACAGGAACAGCUCAGUUACCCACUCACCAGUCGUGAGGGUGCAAGACCUCUAAAAGUGAGGCCUGUAACUUGUUCAUCUUCAAGAUAGAGACUUCACAUUUCGGUGUAAUCACCAUCAACACUUACUGAAUUGAUCCGAAUUCAAUAAAUAUGAAUUCACGGAUAAUCUGCCAAAUUUAAAAUAUUGCCCUAGUGGUUUGGGGUGCACAGAGUUAAGUGAAACCACCCAUUCUUAGGGAUCAUCCAAUGCAGGAGUGCUGGCAUAUUCAUCAGCAAGGGCUGUCACACAGAACAUCACAGGCCCUGUGCUUACGCAACCGUUUCUGCUGAGGCCUCUCUUCCUGCUUAUAGACAGUGCCUUUUCACUUUGAGCUUGCUUGGCCUCUUCUCUGUGCAUGCACAGAGAGAGAGAAAGGGAGAACAGGCAGCCUCUGGCGCCUCUUCCUGUUCUCAUGACACUAGUUAAUAAGGUUCGGUUCUGUGUCCCCACCCAAAUCUCAUCUUGAAUUGUAGCUCCCAUAAUUCCUACUUGUUGUGAGAGGACCUGGUGGGAGAUAAUUGAAUCGUGGGGGUAGUUUCUCCCCACACUAUUCUCAUGAUAGUGAAUAAGUCUCAUGAGAUCUGAUGAUUUUAUAAGGGGUUUCCCCUUGGCUUGGUUUUCAUUCUCUCUUGCCUGCUGUCAUGUAAGAUGUGUCUUUCACCUUCCAUCAUGAUUGUGAGGCCUCUCCAGCCACGUGGAACUGUGAGUCCAUUAAACUUCUUUUUCUUUAUAAAUUACCCAGUCUUUGGUAUGUCUUUAUCAGCAGUGUGGAAAUAGACUAACACACCAGUCCUAUUGGAUUAGGGCCCCACCCUUACGACCUGACUAGACCUUAAUUACUUUCCUGAAGGCCCCAUCUCUAAUAUAGUCACACUGGAGGGUUAGGGCUUCAACACAUGAAUUUGGCUGGGGAGGCACAGUUCAGUACACAACAGAUGGGAACCAUCUUUUUUUUUCUGUUUCAACUUUUUUUUCAGUAUCAACUUUUUGUUUUGUUACAGUGAUUUAGCAUAAAACAAGUAGACACUAAUGUAACAUGCUCACUUAAAAUUCCAAGAAUUCUCAAAAAUUCUCGUACUAUGAACUGACCUUCUUAGUUUCUAAAACUGAAGAAAUCAUUGUAAUUUAAAACAUAAAUCAUCUCAAUCAUAAACAUUAAGAGUUUCCUUGGUGUUCACUCUUGGGAUAUUUCAAAAGAUGAUAAAGUAUGAAAUUAAGCAGAGCCUAUUAAGAUCAACCAUUUUUUAUUAUAUGACCUAUUCAUUUCAAAAUGUAGAUGCACAUAAUAAAUAAGUUUUCCAGUGUGUGCCUGCUCAGAGGUUUCUACACUCUCAGAAAGAAACCAAGCUAAUUACACAUGAAAUAUCAACUGGUGAGCAAUUAUAACCUGAAAAAUACCCUCAUGAUUUUGUAUAUUUUAUAAAUUUAUGAGUUGGGCAAAAAAUGUUAUAUCUAUACCAUGAAUUCAGAAACAGUGGUAAAAUAUGGUCAUAACAAACAGUAUGUGUAUAUAUACACACACGUAUACACAUACACACAUUAUACAUACACGUACCUCAUACACACACACACCUCAUACACACACACCCACACACCCACACCCACCACUAUCAUAAACUUCUGCUUUUAUUUGGCUGGUAAUAUGUACAAAUGAAUAUUUCUGAUUUGUUAGCUUUCUUGGCAUAUUUCUGUCUAAUUUUUUUAAUCUCUCCUCCUUCUUUUCAGAUAAGAAAAACAUGCUCUCUCUUCUCUAAUGAUUGGACAGACUCCUACUCCAAAACAGAAGAUCUCAACUCUGGAAGAGAACAGAUGCCUUCCACUGUGUGAGCGUAAAUUCAGAGCCUUCCAACUUGACAUUCUCAUCGACAAAUUAUUUAAACAUGACGGCUCUUUUAUAAAGAGUGUUAUCUUAAAAGGAAAGGAAUCAAAGGGCUGAACAUGUUGAAGGGAGGAGAAACAAGACCCCCAGGACUUGUCAAUGGCACACAUGAAAGACAGAAAACACCAGAAGCCAGUCUUCAGCCUGCUGGCCCAGCCAUGGCCACUGUAACGUACGGCUAAACCCCUGCCCCGAUCAGCUCUCAAGGCUCUGAGCCAACUGCCUAGACCGUCUAUUUGAGAUCCCUGAGAGUUUCAACACAGGGCAUGGCUGACCUCUCCACCGUGUCAUUUCCAGUAAUGCGGCCUCACUGAUAGCAGAAGUUCGGAGAGCUCUUGUCAGAGAGGCCAGCUGGCACCAUGUGAGUCUUACCCAGAGGGAAACCUGACAAUCUUCCAGCAUGCUCACCAGACUGGGGCACUGACUUUUGUCACUUGAUUCUCAACUCACAGUCUCAAGAUGCUGGUGCUAAUGUACAUUGCAGCUGACACUGGAGUUUAUUUUUAUAACUGCUCUUGCCUCAGAAAAAGCUCCAUCCCAGUACGACUUCCAGGACAGGGAUGGUCUGGAUGCUGCAGUUAGGACAAUGAUCAUCUCGUUCUCUUAGUGGUUAGGAAUCCUGUGGGCUUAUGGAAUAAGCUCGCUGAAACAGACAGUGACAUCCACGGUGACACUGACCGAAUUGUGCUCCAGUGGCCUAGAGAGUGCCUAUUAUUUAUCUCAUUUCUGUUCUGCAUAAUAACACCAACCAAACCGCUAAUGAAUGAAUAUUAUUACAUGCUUUGGUAGGAACGCAAAGGCAAAUUGGGCUCACUGUAGAGAAUAUCUUGCUCCUCAUUUUGUAUUAAAAUGCCUAGACGCCCCUCAAGAGACCAUGUCAAGGAUGAAAUUUAUCCACUGCCUGCAUUUGCUAAUUUGAAAGAGUUCUGAUUUCAUCUGCCGGGCUUAAUAUAGAAAUUCUUUUAACCUGAACAGAUACACAGAAAUGUGGAAUUUAUUCAAUGCCAUUUUCUUGAUUUAUGUCAGGAAAUAUAUAUGGCUAUGCUGUCAUCUUUUUAUAUAUAGACAUCAAUAUAUAUAAAUAUAUAGAGUCAAGUCAGAAAUUCUGAAACCACAUUGCACUUAGCCCUUACAGCAUAAUGCUUUCCAUAUUCUUCACAGUUUGUUUCCCUGAUCCUUUAGAGAGAGCUACUGUGUUUAAAGUGUAAACCAUUUUUACAGAAAAAAUGUAUUACAAUUCUAUAUGAUAAUUCUCAAAGUUCAGGAAAAUAAUCUGAAAUAAACAUUCUAAAUUGAGGAAUGAA